rnacentral:rRNA from 1 species
GACAACGUUUCGGAGGGAACGCUGGUACCGCAUACGUCCUAGGGGAGAAAGCAGGGGACCUUCGGGCCUUGCGCUAUCAGAUGAGGGUAGGUCGGAUUAGCUAGUUGGUGGGGUAAUGGCUCACCAAGGCGACGAUCCGUAACUGGUCUGAGAGGAUGAUCAGUCACACUGGAACUGAGACACGGUCCAGACUCCUACGGGAGGCAGCAGUGGGGAAUAUUGGACAAUGGGCGAAAGCCUGAUCCAGCCAUGCCGCGUGUGUGAAGAAGGUCUUCGGAUUGUAAAGCACUUUAAGUUGGGAGGAAGGGCAGUAAGUUAAUACCUUGCUGUUUUGACGUUACCGACAGAAUAAGCACCGGCUAACUCUGUGCCAGCAGCCGCGGUAAUACAGAGGGUGCAAGCGUUAAUCGGAAUUACUGGGCGUAAAGCGCGCGUAGGUGGUUUGUUAAGUUGGAUGUGAAAGCCCCGGGCUCAACCUGGGAACUGCAUCCAAAACUGGGCGAGCUAGAGUACGGUAGAGGGUGGUGGAAUUUCCUGUGUAGGGUGAAAUGCGUAGAUAUAGAAGGAACACCAGUGGCGAACGCGACCACCUGCACUGAGUACUG